ACAAGCGGAGGAGCAUGUGGUUAAUUCGAUGAUACGCGAGGAACCUUACCUGGGCUCGAACGUAAGAUGACUGUAGGUGAAAGCUUACAUCUCUUCGGAGCAUUUUACGAGGUGCUGCAUGGUUGUCGUCAGCUCGUGCCGUGAGGUGUCGGGUUAAGUCCCAUAACGAGCGCAACCCCUACCUUUAGUUGCCAUCAGGUAAUGCUGGGGACUCUAAAGGAACUGCCUACGCAAGUAGUGAGGAAGGCGGGGAUGACGUCAAAUCAGCACGGCCCUUACGUCCAGGGCUACACACGUGCUACAAUGGCCGAUACAGAGGGCAGCUACCUGGUGACAGGAUGUAAAUCUCCAAAGUCGGUCUCAGUUCGGAUCGGAGUCUGCAACCCGACUCCGUGAAGUUGGAUUCGCUAGUAAUCGCGCAUCAGCCAUGGCGCGGUGAAUACGUUCCCGGGCCUU
rnacentral:rRNA from 1 species